rnacentral:rRNA from 1 species
GAUACCGCCCUAGUUCUAACCAUAAACGAUGCCAACUAGCGAUCCGCCUGGGUUCCUCAAAUGACUCGGCGGGCAGCUUCCGGGAAACCAAAGUGUUUGGGUUCCGGGGGAAGUAUGGUUGCAAAGCUGAAACUUAAAGGAAUUGACGGAAGGGCACCACAAGAAGUGGAGCCUGCGGCUUAAUUUGACUCAACACGGGAAAACUUACCCGGCCCGGACACUGGAAGGAUUGACAGAUUAAGAGCUCUUUCUUGAUUCAGUGGGUGGUGGUGCAUGGCCGUUCUUAGUUGGUGGAGCGAUUUGUCUGGUUAAUUCCGUUAACGAGCGAGACUCUUAUCUGCUAACUAAACGAUCCGAUCCCUUGCGUCGGACGUUUUCUUCUUAGAGGGAGAAGCGGCGUCUAGCCGCACGAGACAGAGCAAUAACAGGUCUGUGAUGCCCUUAGAUGUCCGGGGCCGCACGCGCGCUACACUGAAGGAAUCAGCGUGUGCUCUCCCUGUCCGGCAGGACUGGGUAACCCGUGGAACCUCCUUCGUGAUGGGGAUAGGGGCUUGUAAUUGUUCCCCUUGAACGAGGAAUUCCUAGUAAGCGCGAGUCAUAAGCUCGUGUUGAUUACGUCCCUGCCCUUUGUCCACACCGCCCGUCGCUACUACCGAU